rnacentral:lncRNA from 1 species
GUUGAUACAUAUCAUCAUAUUAUUUCUCAGAUAUACUAUACAGUAUAAUUGCAUUAUCACCUUUCCAGUACCAAACUGUACUGCUGCAUACUAUAUAAAAAUGAUAUCGCACUAAUCUUUCACCUCUUUGAUUAUUGUUCAACAAGUAGAAUACUGUUUCACGUAAGUAUUGCUCUUUGUAUAUCUUCUUUUGUAAGCUGACGGUUCAUAUUCUUGGCUCAUUAAAAGUGUUUAAUUAUAUACUAAUAAAUAUUUAAUAAAGGUGAGAAAAUACAGAUAAAUAAAAAGAAAAACAAACAGCCAUAAUCCCACCAGGGACCAUUAACCACUAUUAAUGUUUUGGUGUCUUUAUCCUAGUUUUCAUCCAUGCAUUCAAUAUCCAUAAAUAUAUGUAUUUUCUUUUUUAAAAAAUAAGAUUGGCCGGGUGCAGUGGCUCAGCCCUCAAAUCAUUUUUAGAUGUUAUAUUGUAUUCCAUUGUAAUUGUGUACCAGAAUUUACUCAAUAUCCCAUUUUGGACUUUAGUUUAAUCUUACUUUGAUACUAUAAAUAUUUAUCAUGUAGCAAAUAUUUACUAAAUAUUCUCAAUUACUUCCUUAGGAUAAAUUCCAGAAAUAGAAUUGCUGGAUUAAAGGUUAUAUAUUUUCUUAAGGCUUUUAAAAGUAUAUUACCAAUUACAUUACAUUAUGAAUUAUCUAUUUCCCAAAACUUGUAUCAGUUUAUACUACCACUAGCAGUAUAUGAGAGGACUGGGGCGGGGGCAGAUUGUAGUUUCUUAAGAUGGCUGCAACAGUAUCUUCCAUCUCACAGUGUUCCAGAACUCUGUCACACCCGUCAAAGGUGAAGCCCAAGGUUCCUCCCCUUGAACCUGUUCAGGCCUUUCUAUCUGCAUCCUGGGCGAGCCGUUACAUCAACCUCAACCAACAGAAAAUCGCAAAAGUCAUGCUAGGUGGCUUCUGAGGCUAGCACAUGAAAAGGCCACCCUGAAGGGCCC